UUUAUUAUUUUUAAAUUCAAAAUCAACCUUUUCCAAUCUUUGUUUUCAAUUAAUUAUCUAAGAAUUAGUUUAAAUACAUAUUAUUCAUUCAAUCCCUGUGGAAAACGACAUUGCUUGAGCCGUUUAUACUACAACUACCUUGUUCUCUUGCAAGUAUUUUUAAAUGUUUUUAUCCCUACUUUUGCAGAUGAUAAAAAUCUCUAUCAACAGCCAAAUAUGUGGUUAGUGCACACAUUUUGUUAACAAAAAACAUAGUUAAAAUGUUUCAAACAAAUAAACAGGUUGAUAAAUGAAUAUGACAAUUAUGAUUAAUUGGUGUCUUGUUGUUGGCUUGUAAGAUUAGAAGAUUUGAAGUAUUCUUUUUAAGUCCCUAAUUUCUCCCAUUGAAGGCAUUCAACUCAUCGUGCACCUCGACAUCACAAACUUGGAAGGGUGUGUUUUAAUUCCAGAUUUGUAGGGAAAUUAAAUUAUGGUUACAAACUUACGUGCAAGUUGUAGUCAAAGGUAGGGAACAAGUAGUUUGUUUGAUACAAGCCAAUAAAAUAUUGUUUCUGCAUAUAUAUUAGCAUGAACAAAUUUUUUAAGGUGUCAUUAAGAUUCCAAAGUUUGUAUUUGGGUAGGACGAUUGAUACAUGGAUUCAAAGGGACUUCAAAUAAGUUGAGUAGGACGAUUGAUACAUAGUCUAAUCCCACCAAAAAAAGAAAAAAUGUAAAAUGUUGAUUGACUUUAUUGUAAAAUCAAAAUUAUUUUUUGACUUCAAGUGGAAUAUCCCUAUAAACAAAGCCUAACGAAAGUAUGAAUGUAUAAAACACAAUAUCGGCAGAAAACUGCAAAUAAAACAGGUAAGGCAAACCUGUAAGCCGAGGUAAUAAAAAAAUUGAAAGAAGAAACGAAAAAAUCAGCAAAAGUUGGUAAAGAGAAGAGUAUGUCACAGCCCGUCCCGGGAUUUUUAUAUCAGGAGCGUGAAAUGACGAUACUACCCUUGACGUUGCUAAGGUUUGUGUGUGUAACGUUAUUUGGUUUAAAUUAUUAUAAGUUUUGGGGAUUAAAAAAAUUUGGUUUUGGAAUUAUGUGGUUAGGGAAUUAGAUGGAUGGUGUGGAUUACAGUGGACCACACCUCACACUCCCUGCUCUCUCUCCCUUCCCGUAGCUCUCUCUCUCUCCUCCCUCACGAUCCCCUACUCUCUCUCUCACCAUAUACGUACGGACGAAGAACAAACCACCCAAAACUCAGUGGAUCGAAGCAACAAGGUAAGAUUCUUCAUCCUCUUGAUGUUUUGAGUUGAUUGGUACUAGUUUUAGGAAGGGAAACCUUCGAAAUAACGUGAACCCGAAACCCCCAUUUUUGGUCACUGUUCAUGCACACAUGAAAUGUUGUGUUUCAGGAAAUUCUAAGCUUAUAGUGAGCUUAGUGAGGUCCCAAGGAGGCUCGGAGUGCUUCGUUUGAAGGAUUUGGACGUCGGGAUCACGAGGGUUGAGUUUGGCCGGUUUUGCUUGGAUUUUUCGGGUGAGAUUUAGUUGUUUUUGGAGCUUAAAAAUAGUGUAUCGUGAUUCUACAUGGUUGGGGCUUCAUUUUGGUAUAAAAUACGAAGAAAACGGUUGAGAAACGAAGGAGAACAAGAAGUUUUAAAACUCGCCGGAAUCCGGCCACCGGAAAAACCAGUCCGACGACUGGCUGGGGAAGAUGACGCGCGUGGGGGCGCGUGUGUCGGUGCGUUCCCUGGCGCGUGGGGGUGCGUACGACACCAAAAAAUUAAUCUAAAAAUUUCUCGACGUCCGUGACGUCGAGAAGGUCGAUGUGGUAUAUUCAUAUAUCCAAUUUGAGCAUCGUAUGAAAAGUUAUUUCGAAUUGUUGGUUAUGUGUUUAAAUUAACGUUUUUAUAGUUGUUUCGCAUAUAGGUGACACUUAUCCCGAGGACGAGCGCAUCCAGGGACGUCAUGGGGGUUACGACCCAUCAACUUAUCAGUGAGUGGGCAGUUUUGUUUUCGUAUUACCUAUAUACAACUGUUUUUCCCAGAAAAUGCGUUUAUAUGAAAAUUAUGAUUUAAAUUGCCAUGCAUGCAAAUGUUGAGAUAUUUAGUUUGAUAAUUGAUGCAUAUAUAUGUUAAUUGACGCGGUGGACGCACAUGCGAGUUUUUAUAUUAUUCAGAUGAGUUAUUUUAUGAGAAUUGCAUUGAAAGCUCAUAACCUGCACCCUAGGUGUUAGUGCUUAUAUUAUUAUUCACCACACCGCACGCUUGUCUUGGAUCCAAGUAGGUGGAUGUCGUACAGACCAUGUGAGGGUUCCGACAUGCUAGUCGUAUAGAUCACUAGAUGUGAUUCCGACUAGUGGGUGACCUUAGUUAUGCGCGCUGAUGAUUGAUGAGAGAAGCACUAGAGCGUAUUUAUACACCUUUCAUCGUACAGACUACUAUACGUAGUUCCGAGUGAUGUGCAAUGUAGUGCCGUACAGUUCACAGUUGGUGACUCCGGCAGGGUCGUAUAGGUCACUGUGGUGACUCCGGCUGAGUGGGAUGUUGAGCUUUAGAAUCAGCCGUACAGGACCAUUGUAUAUAUAUGUUUAUAUUCUAUUUUCUGGGAAAGUAUACAGGUUUUACGGUAAGGGGUUAGAAAUGUUUUAAAUGAAAUGUUUUGGAAAAUCUUUGAUUUUACUGACCCACUCAUCUUUGUUUUGCGCCCCUCCAGGUUCUAGUUAGCGGUUGGUGGCUCUCGAUGUCUUUUUUCGGCAUUCUGACAGACGUUCUGCAUGUAGGACUCACCUGCGGGUGAUGUAUUUUAUUUUGGUCCUACUUGACUGCACUUAAACCUAUGCUUUGAAUUUAUGUGUUUACCUUAUAACUCGUCCUUUUAUUCUAGUAGGUGGUUCUGCUAGAGAUUGGUUUGAAUUCCUUCAUUUUUUGUUAUAUCUUGCUUCCGUGUCGCACUCUUGGUUACGUCACGCUCUCGUGACGGCCAGAACGCCUUGAUCCUCUGGGUCGGGGUGUGUUAGUUUGGUAUCAGAGCCUAGGUUGCAGUCCUGUAUAAUUGUUAAUGCUUUAAUGAUCUUUUGAUUUUUUCUGUCAGAAUUAUGCCGCCUCGUAGAGAGCGUAGGGAGUCCCGCCGUACUCCUGACCCUAAUUUCCCGGAUAUCGUUCAGUUGGGGGAAGCAAUGGCUCAGGCUUUUCAGAAUGUAAUUCGUCCUCCUCCCCCACCUCAGACGACACCCUUGGAGACCAUGUACAAUUUGAAACUGGAUUGUUUUAUGGGUAAUGAAGGUCACGAGAGGGCAGAGAAAUGGCUAGAUCAUAUUGAAAAGACAUUUCAAGUGAUGCAAAGUCAGGGGAACUUUCCGCCUUAGGUGGGUUGAGACCACUACCUGGUUUUUGGGUCGUGAGCUGGCAGGUUGGUGGAGGAAUCAGACGCAGUUUAUGUCCCUAGCUAUGGCAUCUGAUUGGGAAGUAUUUAAAGAUAAUUUCAAGAAAAUAUUUGUCCCCCAGAGUAUAUUGAUCGCAAGAAACAGGAAUUUACUCGAUUGAAACAGAAGAAUAUGACAGCUCAUGAAUACUAUAGAAAGUUUACUGAUUUGUCUCGUUAUGACCCUGAUACAGCUGGUAAUCAGGGAGAGAUGCUUCGACGUUUUAAGUUGGGAUCUAAGAAAAAGUGGCGGACUUUUGCCAGUACACUUCCCUGCGCCGAUUAUCAUGAGUUUUUCGAGAUUUUGGUUAGGAUGGAGGACUCUGAUAAUCUUCCCAGUGAGAGUGAGGAUGACGAGGACAAGAAUGACGGUCAGAAGAAGGAUGAUAAAGGUAAGGGUAUCUCUAUUCCGGGACCUCGCAAGACGCAGAGUUUUAAGAAGAGUGGAGCCAGUUCGAGUUCUUCUAGUGGAGGAUAUAGUAUUACUGGCCUGAGGAAAGGUGGUGGUAGAUUUUCUGGUGGGCCUAGAUUUCAGAGGCAGAGGGAUUCUGGUGGUGCUGGUGGUUCUGGCGCUCCGUGGUGCCGCCGUUGUAAUUUUCGUCAUCAUGGUGAGUGUAGGAGAGGUAGUGGUGCUUGUUUUACUUGUGGGAAAAUGGGACAUCGGGCUUCUCAGUGCCCCCAGGGUCAGCAGAGACCGCAGCAGACCACUAUGCCACCUCCAGCACCGAUUCAGUAGAGCUUUGGACUGGGCAGUUAUGGCCAGUCGGGUCGUGGUGGUGCCUACCAUGACCAGGGGGAUGCUGCUCCGUAUGCUUCCGGACCUUAUCAAUAUCCCAGGAGCCUUAUUCUCAGACAGGGUAUUCUCAGGACUUUGGGGGUUAUUCUUCUUAUUCAUCCAUGCCAGCUGGUGGAUCUCAGUGGCAUCCGGGAGGUCAGCCCCGUCAGGGGGAAGUUGCCACUGGUGGUGCAGGAUCAUCUAGGCAGCUUAGUCAGUCAGGCCAGGGACGUGCUCCCCAGGGGCGAGGUAAUCAAGGCAGUAGAGGUCGUGAUGGACGACAGCAAGCUCAGGGGCGUGUUAAUCACAUCUCACUGCAAGAGGUUCAGAACCAUCCGGACUUGAUCAUGGGUACGUUAAAUGUUCUUGGUCAUUUUGCUAAGGUUUUGAUUGAUUGUGGUGCUACGCAUUCUGUGAUUUCUCAUACGUUUUCUCAAAUGACUCAACCUCACCCUUCACCUCUAGGAUUUGAUUUAGAGUUUGCCAUGCCUAGAGGAGAUAAAUGUUAUGUUGAUAGUGUGUAUCUUGGGUGUCCAGUGAUGGUAGAGGGCAUAGUUAUGCCAGCUGAUCUUAUCCCGUUAGAUAUUGUGGAUUUUGAUGUGAUUCUAGGGGCUGAUUGGUUGCAUUAUAAUCGUGCCCAUAUUGAUUGUUAUGGGAAAUCAGUUACUUUUUAUCGCCCUGGACUACCCGAGGUUACUUUUGUGGGUGAAAGAAGUGGGGUGAGACAUGGUGUUAUCUCUGCCAUAAGAGCAAGGAAAUUAUUAUCGAAGGGUUGUCAGGGAUAUUUAGCACAUGUGGUGUUAAAUGAUGUUGUUUCUCCUAGUAUAGAAGAAGUUGGUGUGGUCAGACAUUAUCCUGAUGUAUUUCCUGAUGAUUUGCCGGGGCUGCCGCCAGACAGAGAGGUGGAAUUCUCUAUUGAUUUGCUUCCAGGUACUGACCCUAUAUCUCUAACUCCUUAUAGAAUGGCUCCUGCUGAGUUGAGAGAAUUGAAAAUUCAGUUGCAAGAAUUACUUGAUAAGGGUUUCAUUCAGCCUAGUUCGUCACCUUGAGGAGCUCUAGUAUUAUUUGUGAGGAAGAAAGAUGGAACUCUGAGAUUAUGCAUUGACUAUAGGCAAUUGAACCAGGUAACGAUUAAAAACCAUUAUCCAUUGCCUCGUAUCGACGAUUUGUUUGAUCAGCUGAAAGGUGCGCGUGUAUUUUCUAAGAUUGAUUUGAGAUCCGGUUAUUAUCAGUUGAAGAUUAAAGAGGAAGAUGUACCUAAGACAGCUUUCCGAACCCGUUACGGACAUUAUGAAUUUCUGGUUAUGCCAUUUGGGUUGACUAAUGCACCUGCAGCUUUCAUGAGGUUGAUGAAUGAGGUAUUCUAGCAAUAUCUUGAUAAAUUUGUUAUUGUUUUUAUUGAUGAUAUUCUGGUAUACUCUAAAUCUAAAGCAGAUCAUAUCCGACAUCUUAACUUGGUAUUAAAGAAAUUGAGGGAGCAUCAGUUGUAUGCUAAGUUCAGUAAAUGUCAGUUCUGGUUGACUGAAGUGGCAUUUUUGGGGCAUGUUGUAUCGGCUCAAGGAAUCCAAGUUGAUCCUCAAAAGAUAGCAGCGGUGGAGAAUUGGGAGCAACCUCGAACCGUCACUGAGGUACGAAGUUUUCUUGGUUUAGCAGGUUAUUAUCGACGGUUUGUUCAGGAUUUUUCUAUGAUUGCUUUGCCGUUAACGAAGUUGACCAGGAAGGAUGUUAAAUUUGAGUGGGAUGAGAAUUGUGAGCGGAGUUUCCAGCAAUUGAAAUAUUGCCUCACUCAUGCUCCGGUAUUGGUACUUCCUGAUGAUAAUGGUAAUUUUGAGAUUUAUAGUGAUACUUCCUUGAAUGGUUUGGGAUGUGUUUUGAUGGAGCAUAAUAGAGUGAUUGCUUAUGCUUCUCGACAGUUGAAAAAUCAUGAAAGGAAUUAUCCUACUCACGAUCUUGAAUUGGCAGCCAUUGUUUUCGCUUUGAAGAUUUGGAGGCAUUAUUUAUAUAGUGAGAAGUGUAAGAUCUUCACUGAAAACAAGAGUCUUUAGUAUCUGUUUACUCAGCAUGAUCUUAAUCUUCGUCAGCGAAGGUGGAUGGAAUUGUUAAGUGAUUAUGACUGUACUAUCGAGUAUCAUCCGGGUCGUGCUUAUGUGGUGGCUGACGCACUGAGUAGGAAACCUCAAGGUAGACUCAAUGCCUUAUAUGCUAGCCGUGUUCCUCUUCUUGCUGAACUGAGGACAACUGGAGUAAAGUUGGAGUUGGAAGAUCGAAGUGGAGCCUUUCUUGCUAGUUUUCAAGUCAGGCCAGUUUUGGUUGAUCGUAUACUCGAAGCUCAGAUGGUGGAUGAGGAAAUUCAAGAAAUGGUUCAGUUAAGAAGUGAAGGGAAAAAGAAAGACCUCAGGAUUCGGAAAUCAGAUGGUAUGCUUAUGCAGGAAAAUAGAAUGUAUGUUCCGAAUAAUGAGGAAUUAAAGAAGGAAAUAUUGGAUGAAGCGCAUUGUUCAGCUUAUGCGAUGCACCCGGGAGGCACUAAGAUGUAUCAUACCAUUCGACCAUUUUAUUAUUGGCCGGGUAUGAAAAGGGAAAUUGCUGAGUAUGUGAGUAGAUGUAUUAUCUGCCAGCAAGUUAAAGCAGAAAGAAAGAAGCCUUUUGGGCGAAUGCAGCCACUUCCCGUUCCCCAAUGGAAAUGAGAAAAUAUAACCAUGGAUUUCGUGUAUAAACUUCCUCGUACACGAAACGGAUUUGAUGGUAUUUGGGUGAUUGUGGAUCGACUUACCAAGUCAGCACAUUUCAUUCCAGUAAGGGAGAAGUAUCCUCUGAAAAAAUUGGCUAGGUUGUUCAUUACGAAGAUUGUGAAGUAUCAUGGAGUUCUAGUGAAUAUUAUUUCUGAUCGAGACCCAAGAUUUACUUCUAAAUUUUGGGUAGCUUUUCAGGAAGCUCUUGGUACGCAAUUGCUUUACAGUACUGCUUAUCAUCCUCAAACUGAUGGGCAAUCAGAGAGGACGAUUCAGACGUUGGAGGAUAUGUUGAGAUCUUCAGUGUUACAAUUCGGUGAUUCCUGGCAUGAUCGUCUGGACUUGAUGGAAUUUGCCUACAAUAAUAGUUUUCACUCGAGCAUUGGUAUGUCAUCAUUUGAGGCACUUUAUGGUAGGGCGUGUCGUACACCAUUGUGUUGGUCUGAGGUUGGUGAAAGAGUGUUAGAAGGCCCAGAGAUUGUGGAUGAGACUACUCAAAAUAUUCAGGUGAUUAAGUCUAACCUGAAAGUAGCCCAAGAUCGACAGAAGAGUUUAGCUGAUCGACAUGCCACUGAUCGAGUGUAUAAUGUGGGCGAUUGGGUGUUUUUGAAAUUGUCACCUUGGAGAGGUGUGGUACGAUUUGGAAAAAGAGGGAAGCUAAGUCCAAGAUACAUUGGACCUUAUGUGAUCACUGAAAGAGUUGGUGAAGUUGCCUACCGGUUGGAGUUGCCUCCUGAGUUAUCUAAGGUCCAUAAUGUGUUCCACGUCUCUAUACUUCGACAUUAUAUUUCUGAUCCUUCUCAUGUGAUCCCUCCUCAACCGCUAGAGAUUAAUCCGGAUUUGACAUAUGAUGAGGAACCAGUCACUAUCUUGGAUUGGAAAGAUAAGGUUUUAAGAAACAAGACGGUGAGUUUGGUGAAGGUGUUGUAGAGGAACCAUUCCGUAGAAGAAGCUACCUGGGAGACAGAAGAUCGUAUGAGAGAGAUGUACCCAAGAUUAUUCUAUGGGUUUUAAGUGGUUUAAUUGGUUAUGGGAAUUUCGGGGACGAAAUUCUAUAAGGAGGGGAGAUUGUCACAGCCCGUCCCGGGGAUUUUUAUAUCGGGAGCGUGAAAUGACGAUACUACCCUUGACGUUGCUAAGGUUUGUGUGUGUAACGUUAUUUGGUUUAAAUUAUUAUAAGUUUUGGGGAUUAAAAAAAUUUGGUUUUGGAAUUAUGUGGUUAGGGAAUUGGAUGGAUAGUGUGGAUUAAAGUGGACCACACCUCACACUCCCUGCUCUCUCUCCCUUCCCGUAGCUCUCUUUCUCUCCUCCCUCACGAUCCCCUACUCUCUCUCUCACCAUAUACGUAUGGACGAAGAACAAACCACCCAAAACUCAGUGGAUUGAAGCAACCAAGGUAAGAUUCUUCAUCCUCUUGAUGUUCUGAGUUGAUUGGUACUAGUUUUAGGAAGGGAAACCUUCGAAAUAACGUGAACCCGAACCCCCAAUUUUUGGUCACUGUUCAUGCACACAUGAAAUGUUGUGUUUCAGGAAAUUCUAAGCUUAUAGUGAGCUUAGUGAGGUCCCAAGGAGGCUCGGAGUGCUUCGUUUGAAGGAUUUGGACGUCGAGAUCACGAGGGUUGAGUUUGGCCGAUUUUGCUUGGAUUUUUCUGGUGAGAUUUAGUUGUUUUUGGAGCUUAAAAAUAGUGUAUCGUGAUUCGACAUGGUUGGGGCUUCAUUUUGGUAUAAAAUACGAAGAAAACGGUUGAGAAACGAAGGAGAACAACAAGUUUUAAAACUCACCGGAAUCCGGCCACCGGAAAAACCAGUCCGGCGACUGGCUGGGGAAGAUGACGCGCGUGGGGGCGCGUGUGUCCGUGCGUUCCCUGGCGCGUGGGGGUGUGUACGACACAAAAAAAUUAAUCUAAAAAUUUCUCGACGUCCGUGACGUCGAAACGGUCGAUGUGGUAUAUUCAUAUACCCAAUUGAGCAUCGUAUGAGAAGUUAUUUUGAAUUGUUGGUUAUGUGUUUAAAUUAAAAUUUUUAUAGUUGUUUCGCAUAUAGGUGACACUUAUCCCGAGGACGAGCGCAUCCAGGGACGUCACGGGGGUUACGACCCAUCGACUUAUCAGUGAGUGGGCAGUUUUGUUUUCGUAUUACCUAUAUACAACUGUUUUUCCCAGAAAAUGCGUUUAUAUGAAAAUUAUGAUUUAAAUUGCCAUGCAUGCAAAUGUUGAGAUAUUUAGUUUGAUAAUUGAUGCAUAUAUAUGUUAAUUGACGCGGUGGACGCACAUGCGAGUUUUUAUAUUAUUCAGAUGAGUUAUUUUAUGAGAAUUUCAUUGAAAGCUCAUAACCUGCACCCUAGGUGUUAGUGCUUAUAUUAUUAUUCACCACACCGCACGCUCGUCUUGGAUCCAAGUAGGUGGAUGUCGUACAGACCAUGUGAGGGUUCCGACAUGCUAGUCGUAUAGAUCACUAGAUGUGAUUCUGACUAGUGGGUGACCUUAGUUAUGCGCGCUGAUGAUUGAUGAGAGAAGCACUAGAGCGUAUUUAUACACCUUUCAUCGUACAGACUACUAUACGUAGUUCCGAGUGAUGUGCAAUGUAGUGCCGUACAGUUCACAGUUGGUGACUCCGGCAGGGUCGUAUAGGUCACUGUGGUGACUCCGGCUGAGUGGGAUGUUGAGCUUUAGAAUCAGCCGUCCAGGACCAUUGUAGGGUCUCCGGUUGAUUUAUUAUUUCACCUGAUUGAUAUUGAUGCAUUUCUGAUUAUAUUUGGCAUGGCGUGGCAUAUUAUUUCUGAGAUGUUAUGUUGAUGGAUAUGAGCUGAGUUUUGAUGAUAUAUGUAUGUAUAUGUUUAUAUUCUAUUUUCUGGGAAAGUAUACAGGUUUUACGGUGAGGGGUUAGAAAUGUUUUAAAUGAAAUGUUUUGGAAAAUCUUUGAUUUUACUGACCCACUCAUCUUUGUUUUGCGCCCCUCCAGGUUCUAGUUAGCGGUUGGUGGCUUUCGAGGUCUUUUUUCGGCAUUCUGACAGACGUUCUGCAUGUAGGACUCACCUGCGGGUGAUGUAUUUUAUUUUGGUCCUACUUGACUGCACUUAAACCUAUGCUCUGAAUUUAUGUGUUUACCUUAUAACUCGUCCUUUUAUUCCAGUAGGUGGUUCUACUAGAGAUUGGUUUGAAUUCCUUCAUUUUCUAUUAUAUCUUGCUUCCGUGUCGCACUCUUGGUUACGUCACGCUCUCAUGACGGCCAGCACGCCUUGAUCCUCUGGGUCGGGGUGUGUCAGAGUAGCCAUAAAUUAGCUCAUUUAUUUAUUGGUGUGAAUUAUACUAGAGUUUACAAGUACUAUAUAUAUGUGCAUGUGUGUGUGAAUGUUUCUCGUAUAAUAGCUGGUCAUCUUAAAUAUUAUGGGUAAUGUUAGAGAGAGAUUAAAUUUGUAGACUAAAUUUUGAGAAUUAAAUGACAUGAAAGUUGAUAAUUGAAUUAUUACUUAAAUGUUGAUUAACAUGCUUAUUUCUUAUUAGUGACACAUAAUUUAUCUGCAAUUUUAAUCUCCUUAGCAUUACCUUUAAUAAAUUACAACUUUCAUGUCUUUUGUUUUUCAAUUCUUUUAACUUAUCUAAAAUGAGUUCAUCAAAGUUCAAGCAACCAUGUCUAACUUGGUCUGCAAGUAUGCAUGCAUAGGUUUGACCAUUAAACAAUGUUAAGUAUACUACCAAUUAAAUAUGUUGAUGCACAAAAUCAAUGAGGAUUUUGAUACAAUAGAAAUUGUUAAGUUUGUGACCUUCGCUAGAUUGUUCCGGUCACUAAUGUGGAUAAG
rnacentral:lncRNA from 1 species